rnacentral:rRNA from 1 species
UACGAAGGGGGCUAGCGUUGCUCGGAAUCACUGGGCGUAAAGGGUGCGUAGGCGGGUCUUUAAGUCAGGGGUGAAAUCCUGGAGCUCAACUCCAGAACUGCCUUUGAUACUGAAGAUCUUGAGUUCGGGAGAGGUGAGUGGAACUGCGAGUGUAGAGGUGAAAUUCGUAGAUAUUCGCAAGAACACCAGUGGCGAAGGCGGCUCACUGGCCCGAUACUGACGCUGAGGCACGAAAGCGCGGGGAGCAAACAGG